AUUCAUCCAUCGCAGCCAUUUUGGCAUUUGACUUGUUUUGGGAGAACAAAAUUUUGUCACAAUUUGCGUAUAACGGCCAAUGUAAUUAAAUUUGUCGAAAUAACAAAAAACGAUUGAUCAGAACACAUGUACAACAACUAAUUAAUGAUCAUUUAUAUUUAAAAAUAGUAAUGGUACGUUGAAAUAACAUUACCUUGGAAAAACAUUUGUUGAAAUUGAAAGUUGUGAAUUUCGUCGAAGAUCAUGGAAUCUCCAAGACAAUCUGAGUCUGACUCAUUGGAAUACUGGAAGAAACAAGCUAAACACUAUGAACAAAAAGCUAACGACAUACAGCAAGAGUUAGACGAAUACACUGAAAACUCUGCCCAGCUUGAAAAAGAAUUAGAAGCCUCAUUGGUUCAAGUGGAAAAACAAAACAGAGACUUAGAACAUCAAAACCAACGCCUAAAAAAUGAAAUAGAAACAUUAAGAAAUAAACUGGAGAGGAGUCAGCACGAGACCAAUGCAUUAGAAAAUGAACUACAGACUUUAAAAAUUGAAAAAAAUAAACAAUGUGUAUAUAUAAGAGAAUUGGAACAAAAAAAUGAUGAUUUAGAAAGAGGUCAAAGGGUUAUAUCAGAGUCAGUGUCUUGUAUAGAAGCAUUACUAAAUCAAGCAUAUGAAAGGAAUGCAGUUUUAGAAAGUGAAGUAGAUGAAAUAGAAAACUUGAGAGUCAAAUUGCAAAGAGCAACAGAUGAAGCCAGAGAUCUGAAACAAGAACUUAAAGUGGUAGAGAGACCACACAAGAAGGAAGAUGGCAGUCCUUUCGAGAAUACUGUCAAUGGACAUGUGUCCAAUGCUUCACGAGUUGAGAUUGAAACACAGACACUUUCAUCACCUCAAAAAAGAGAAAUCAAUGGUAAUGCCAUGACACCAUCUGCCCGUGUAUCAGCCAUAAAUAUUGUGGGGGAUCUUCUUCGGAAAGUAGGGCUUGAAAGGUUUCUUUGCCGUGAUUGUGGUAAGGUCAAAUGUUCGUGUGAAGUAGCUGCCGACGACAAUCCGGUCCUAACUACACCUGCCGAAACUGAUGUAAACACUGAGAGACAAGGUCCCGAUCUUAGCGAUAAUAUAGAAUUCAGAAAAUUGAACCGUCAGUACUCAGGACCUGAAAGAAAUGAUAAUCUAGCAGAAAAACAAUCGAACUUGACAAAUAGGUCAUCAGAAUACCCAUUCACGAGGGCCGGAGAUAAUGGGAAGUUGAGAAGAUCAUUUGCUGUCAGAUCCCGGGAAGGAAUUGAAAAUCUUUUAAGUUUCGCUAAAGGCAACAAGACAAAAGAGAUUAAAACAAAUCAUUAAAAAAUAAAACAUACAUUGAAGAUUUGAACACUAGUAUUUUAUUAUUAGUGUUUUUGUAUUAAAAUCCUGUUUUCAAGGCUUUGGAAUCAAAGUUAGCAUCGUGUCGUGGUACAGUUAGACCUAAAGAGCAUUCACCAAACUCGAGCUCCGACGUCAAUAAGGACUACAGAUGCGUACUCAAGAAUUAAACAUUGGCGCAUAUAAUCCAAUCUCGACUUGCAGCUGUAGCUUGAAUAGCAUCAGGCUAAGAUCGAGCACGUGUGUACUAGUGUCGCCGAAAAUUCAAGUGUGACUAUCGAUAGUUGGCCUUGAAAAUCAUCUAAAAUAAUAUACCUAUCAGUAGCUGCAUAAGCUGUAAUAAUAUUAAAAAAACAGUAGUUUCGAUACUAUUGGCCAUUAGUCUUCUAGACUGUCGAUGGUAUCCAUUACUCAAAAUGAGGCCUCAGCAUAUCGAUACUAUUGCUUUAGCUUCAACUGUCUAUUGGUUGUCGAUCGGCAACACUAGUCUAUCAACUGCCAAAUAAGGUGUUUACAUACAUUAAGCCUUACACUUACCUGUCGCUAACGUAUCUAUUUAUGAUAUGACUAGCAUGAUCUCACUUGCACGUAGAGGCACUAUGAAAAUAUGCCCUAACCUUUUGACGAUAUCGUGCGCAGGCUCAAGCUAACACUACUUAGUGCGUGUGACACUAAUAAGGUUAAUGUUCAUAUAAAUACUUUAUUUGUCAGUUGCAAUACAAAAAUCGCUUUACACAUCCUUGCUGAAAGUAUCAUAUUGUGAUCAGUGUCACAUUUUCCUAAUUUACUGAUGUCUGUGAUAGACUUAAAAAUAGUUAAGGAUUGGUAAAUUAGCAUUUGGCCUACCCACCGGAGACCUAGCUCAUAGUUGCACUUCUAGCAACACUUUACAUCACUUUCAGUGUGUUGUUUAUCUUAGAAUACAAAAUAUAAUUGAAUGGUUUACUAUUUUUUACGGUUGACUAUGCAGUCCAAAGAUUUAUAUUCUUUUAAUGAUUUAGGAUUUCCUUUAUAACUAUAAAUGGAAGAAUUGAUCUUCAUUGGUUACGUUAAAUAAAUUGAAAAAAAAAACAUACUCCAGAUGCUUGAUAGCUUAACCUGGAAAUAAUAUUAAUAAAAUUGGUGGCUAUGCACAAGUAUUUUAGAAAUAUAUAUUAUGUAAAUAUAGAAAUAUGUAUGUAUGAAAUUGUUAACUUUACAAAAUUUUAUGAAAUAUGAAUAUCAAGUGAUAUUUAGAUACAUUUACUUUCAGAUUGCAAACAAAGUGUUAUGUUUUGUAUGAUCAGUGGCCAGCAUUUUGAGCAAGUUUUUGAUGUUAUGUGUAACUGUGAAAUGUAUCAGUCUCCAUAGUAUUGUAAACAAAACCAACAGUUAAGAAGUAGAUUAGUCGUAAAUAUAAUUUUAAGCAAGUCUUGACAAUCAUCUCACUCAGACAUUGCAUGAAUUUGUGGCUAACCAUUAUGGUUGCAGUCUGGUUUAAAAAUAAUCGUGAUCUUUUUGUGUUCUUGGCAUGGCUCUACUAACACAUUACUAUUAUACUUAUCUCAUUAUAAAAAAAAAUAUCACGAAAGCGGCCCCUGUUUUUGUGAUCAUCGGUACAUAAACUACAACUACAUUAAUUAAAUAAUCUCACGUUGAUGAAUUACUGCUAAGCUACAAACAAUAUGUAACUCUUGCCUUAUAAGUUAAGUAUAUAAUAUACCCAGCAAAGUUAUAUCAUUGGUAUUAUAUUUUACUUGAUUUGACACGAGGUUUCCAUCUCUAAUGAGGUUUGUUAUUUUAAUAGCAUAAUUUAUAUUUGUUGAUGUACCAACAGGUAUGAACAAUGUAGAGAUGUAACACUACAUACACACAUAACUUGGUCAACACUACAGGCUUUUACAUUAUCUUAUAUAGGCAAAUGCUGUGUAAGCUAAGUUCAUAAAUGUCACAAUAGGUAUAAGUAGAUUUUACAAAUUGUUGUACAUGUGAUACCAAAAUAUGCAGUGAUGCAACCCCCUUCAACUGGGCAAUUGAAUGUAUUGCUGUCUCUUUUUUAGUAUUAUCGUGCUAAAAAUAAAUAGAAACGCAUACAUUGCCGUUCAAUGUGGAUGAAGUGAAAAAAUAUUAUUACAUAGAUGUGAUUAUUUAUAAUUAUACUUUAAAUUGCCCAAGUGAUUAAAAUGUAAAAGUUAGGAUUCUCUCAGUUUUUUGUGACGAGGAAAAUUAAAUGUUAAUAAAUUCUUUUUGCGCAGUUUGCCGAGAUUAGUUUUCAUUUUUGAACUGUACGCAUUUAUGUUAAUUCACAUGUGUGGUGACCAAAAACAAUUUGUCCGCAAUUAAAUAAUUAAUCAUAUGUAAA